CCCUGGCUGCCGCGGCCAAUUUGUUCCCGAUCUCAAGGUUUACUGACCGUGUCUCAAGCCGAGUUUCAGAAUUCACGAGUCGCGGUGGAUUUACCUUCUGAAGCCAAUUACUUCGGCUCCUAGU
rnacentral:lncRNA from 1 species